CAGAACCAACGGACUGAGACUGAAAGAGGGGAGUGGGUACCGGUCCUGAUACGCAGCAUCUUCUCUUACCAAGUAUCCCCUGUGGAGUUCUGACACUUGACUGUGAGGUUCAGUCUUUGCAUUGCAACAGCUGAUGAUAUGACAGCUGUCAGAGUCCUGAUGACUGCAAUCUUCUUAAAUAAUAAAUGGUGAGGUGCAUAAACUGUA